rnacentral:lncRNA from 1 species
CACCGCUCUGCCCGUCCCGCCCGAUCGCUCCGCGCGGCUCACGCUGCUCCCGAGGGAUCGCAGCUGGCAGGGAUCUUAUCCAGUGGGAGCCAACCCUACCGGCGGCGAGGGUUGGCUCCCACUGAGCAGAGAAAGGUCUGCCACUCGCUCUCUCUCUGUCCGACUGACCGUCUGUCCUUCCGUUCCGGGGAGAGUGCACUACUCUACCUCCGCAGGCUGGUUUCUUCGAACUUUCUUUUGUUUUUACUUGGUGAAGUUCUCUGGCUGUGGCGGCGUGGACAUGGGGUCCCGGUGACAGGUAGGAAGCAGGUGGGGUCUCCAUCAUCCUGCACGAAAGUCUGCUCUGGAUGGUGCUGCGUCCUGGCAAACCACAGCAAAGAGAGUUUUCCUGCUCUGGGAGGAGCAAAGAAGCAACGUGCAGCUUGUGUCUGGGGGGAAGCUGUCCUCUCAGGACGAGAGUGUUUCGUCAUCCGUCAGGGACUGCGCCUGGAAACUCUGCCUCAAAGCCGCUUUGCAUGUGGUGACCAAAGUCCUUCCUUCUCGCUAGCAUCUACCCUUAACACACAGACGCAGAGGCUUGUGUGCUGUCGACACAUAAAAACACCUAAUCCAUGCGGUGGGGUAUGACACUUACAUGAGGGUUUCAAGUUUGCUCCUACACACAGUUGAAUCUCAGCUCCUGGUGGAUCCCAGGUCACAGGUCCAUGAUCGCUGUAGGGUGAACUACUCCUUAAGAAAAUUCCCAAUCCCUUGGUCUUUACCGAGUGUAGUUGGUCAUAUAGGCGUUUAAAAAAAAAAAGCGGGGGGGGGGGGGAGAAAAUUCAUCCUGUUGUUUCUACAGAUUCAUCCUGUUGUUUCUAUAUUUCUUUGG